CGCUGGUGAAGAACAGUGGGUCGAAACAUCAAUGAUUUACACCAAUCACCUCUAAGAGGCUACAACGUUUCUUCGAGUCUUUAGAAAAUUCUAUAAAUGUAACAUUAUAUAUGAGACUUUAGUUAAAUAAGACAGAAUGUCUGGAAGCGUAUACAUUAAAAUAGAAUUCUGUAGACCAAGCACUAUUUAUCUAUAUGAAUGCACGUGUCACGGCCUGUGCCGGACGUUUGUCAAUCCAUAAGAAGACUUUUCUCUCUCUAUAUAUUAUCCAAUCUCACCUUUGGCAUCACACAUUUUAUAGAAAAGGCAUGCUACAAUUCAAAUCAUAUCUGCUGAUCAGUUCCAUAAUAUAAUUUUAAGCUAAACAUCAAUAUAUCAGCACUCAAUCCCUUAUUAAAUAAUAGAUACCAGUGGGCAGCGAAUAAAUGAGAGUAAAAAAAACUGCUAAAUUAGUUGAAAGCAGCUGUUAGUUAUCAAAAACACAGCAGUAUUUAACAUUCUAAUGGUUGCUAUAAUACAGAGAUAAAA